GGGGGGGGGGGGCGGCGGGGGUGGCGCGGGCAGGGCGAGCGGUGGGGCGCUGCGGGGGGGGUCAGGGGGGGGCGGGUGAGUAGCGCGUGGGCAACCUGCCCCCGGCGCUGGGAUAACUCCAAGAAAGUGGGGCUAAUACCGGGUGUUCACCGCUUCCCGCAUGGGGGGUGGUGAAAAGGGUUGCCGGCUGGGGAUGGGCCCGCGGCCUAUCAGCUUGUUGGUGGGGUAGUGGCCUACCAAGGCGACGACGGGUAGCCGGCCUGAGAGGGUGACCGGCCACACGGGGACUGAGACACGGCCCAGACUCCUAAGGGAGGCAGCAGUGGGGAAUAUUGCGCAAUGGGCGGAAGCCUGACGCAGCGACGCCGCGUGGGGGAUGACGGCCUUCGGGUUGUAAACCUCUUUCAGCAGGGACGAAGCGCAAGUGACGGUACCUGCAGAAGAAGCACCGGCCAACUACGUG
rnacentral:rRNA from 1 species